rnacentral:rRNA from 1 species
UACAGAGGUCUCAAGCGUUGUUCGGAUUCAUUUGGGCGUAAAGGGUGCGUAGGCGGCGCGGUAAGUCGGGUGUGAAAUCUCGGGGCUUAACUCCGAAACUGCAUUCGAUACUGCCGUGCUUGAGGACUGGAGAGGAGACUGGAAUUUACGGUGUAGCGGUGAAAUGCGUAGAUAUCGUAAGGAAGACCGUGGCGAAGGCGGGGUCU